rnacentral:rRNA from 1 species
AGUUUGAUCCUGGCUCAGGAUGAACGCUAGCUACAGGCUUAACACAUGCAAGUCGAGGGGCAGCAUGUCGGUUGCUUGCAACCGAUGAUGGCGACCGGCGCACGGGUGAGUAACGCGUAUCCAACCUACCCUUGUCCAUCGGAUAACCCGUCGAAAGGCGGCCUAACACGAUAUGCGGUUCACAGCAGGCAUCUAACGUGAACGAAAUGUGAAGGAGAAGGAUGGGGAUGCGUCUGAUUAGCUUGUUGGCGGGGUAACGGCCCACCAAGGCUACGAUCAGUAGGGGUUCUGAGAGGAAGGUCCCCCACAUUGGAACUGAGACACGGUCCAAACUCCUACGGGAGGCAGCAGUGAGGAAUAUUGGUCAAUGGACGAGAGUCUGAACCAGCCAAGUAGCGUGCAGGAUGACGGCCCUAUGGGUUGUAAACUGCUUUUAUAGGGGGAUAAAGUGUGCCACGUGUGGCAUAUUGCAGGUACCCUAUGAAUAAGGACCGGCUAAUUCCGUGCCAGCAGCCGCGGUAAUACGGAAGGUCCAGGCGUUAUCCGGAUUUAUUGGGUUUAAAGGGAGCGUAGGCCGUUUGGUAAGCGUGUUGUGAAAUGUCGGGGCUCAACCUGGGCAUUGCAGCGCGAACUGCCAGACUUGAGUGCGCAGGAAGUAGGCGGAAUUCGUCGUGUAGCGGUGAAAUGCUUAGAUAUGACGAAGAACUCCGAUUGCGAAGGCAGCCUGCUGUAGCGCAACUGACGCUGAAGCUCGAAAGCGUGGGUAUCGAACAGGAUUAGAUACCCUGGUAGUCCACGCGGUAAACGAUGGAUGCUCGCUGUUUGCGUCUGACGUAAGCGGCCAAGCGAAAGCGUUAAGCAUCCCACCUGGGGAGUACGCCGGCAACGGUGAAACUCAAAGGAAUUGACGG